rnacentral:rRNA from 1 species
GUCGAACGGUAACAGGUCCUUCGGGAUGCUGACGAGUGGCGGACGGGUGAGGGAUGCAUCGGAAUCUGCCUGUUUGUGGGGGAUAACGCAUGGAAACGUGCGCUAAUACCGCAUACGUCCUUUUGUCGGGAGAUGAUUGGAGAAAGUGGGGGACCUUCGGGCCUCACGCGAACAGAUGAGCCGAUGUCGGAUUAGCUGGUUGGUGGGGUAAAGGCCUACCAAGGCGACGAUCCGUAGCUGGUCUGAGAGGAUGAUCAGCCACACUGGAACUGAGACACGGUCCAGACUCCUACGGGAGGCAGCAGUGGGGAAUAUUGGACAAUGGGGGCAACCCUGAUCCAGCCAUGCCGCGUGUGUGAAGAAGGCCCUUGGGUUGUAAAGCACUUUUGUUGGGGAAGAAAAGUUUUCGGUGAAUAACUGGAGACGCUGACGGUACCCAAAGAAUAAGCACCGGCUAACUUCGUGCCAGCAGCCGCGGUAAUACGAAGGGUGCAAGCGUUACUCGGAAUCACUGGGCGUAAAGGGUGCGCAGGCGGCCUGCCAAGUCUGAUGUGAAAGCCCUGGGCUCAACCUGGGAACGGCAUUGGAAACUGGUGGGCUGGAGU